GCCGCUUCAGGCGAAGUCAUUGAUCCUAUGCUGCCUAGAAAAGCCCAGCAGCGAGUUGACAUGGUGCCCGUACCCCAAACCAACACAGGUGGACAGGUAGAGCAUACCAAGGCGAGUGGGAUAACUAUGGUUAAGGAACUCGGCAAAUUGCCUCCGUAACUUCGGGAGAAGGAGGACCCCAGUAGCGUGAUGAGACUUGCUCUCUGAGCGUGAAGGGGUGGCACAAAAUUGAGGGAAGCGACUGUUUACCAAAAACACAGCAGCGUGCUAAGCCGUAAGGCGCUGUAUACGCUGUGACUCCUGCCCGGUGCUGGAAGGUUACGGGGAUGGGUUAGUCCUUCGGGACGAAGCUCUGAACCUAAGCCCCAGUAAACGGCGGCCGUAACUAUAACGGUCCUAAGGUAGCGAAAUUCCUUGUCGGGUAAGUUCCGACCUGCACGAAUGGAGUAACGACUUCCCUACUGUCUCAACCAUAGACCCAGCGAAAUUGAAGUACGAGUAAAGAUGCUCGUUAGCUGCAGAAGGACGGAAAGACCCCGUGGACCUUUACUAUAACUUGAUGUUGUGUUUUGUCAUAUGUUGUGUAGGAUAGGUGGGAGACUUGGAAGCAUGGACGCUAGUCUGUGUGGAGUCAUCGUUGAAAUACCACCCUGCAUAUGGUGAGGCUCUAACCUAGACCCGUUAUCCGGGUUGGGGACAGCGUCAGGCGGGUAGUUUAACUGGGGCGGUUGCCUCCUAAAGAGUAACGGAGGCGCCCAAAGGUUCCCUCAGCCUGGUUGGCAAUCAGGCGUUGAGUGCAAUGGCAAAAGGGAGCUUGACUGCGAGACCUACAAGUCGAGCAGGAGCGAAAGCUGGGCAUAGUGAUCCGGCGGUUGCGUGUGGAAGCGCCGUCGCUCAACGGAUAAAAGGUACCCCGGGGAUAACAGGCUAAUCUUGCCCAAGCGUCCAUAGCGACGGCAAGGUUUGGCACCUCGAUGUCGGCUCAUCGCAUCCUGGGGCUGAAGCAGGUCCCAAGGGUUGGGCUGUUCGCCCAUUAAAGCGGUACGCGAGCUGGGUUCAGAACGUCGUGAGACAGUUCGGUCCCUAUCCUCUGCAGCCGGAGGUGAAUUGAGGAAAGCUGUCCCUAGUACGAGAGGACCGGGACGGACGCAGCUCUCGUGUGCCAGUUGUCCUGCCAAGGGCAUGGCUGGUUAGCGACCUGCGGAAAGGAUAACCGCUGAAAGCAUCUAAGCGGGAAGCCUCUUCCAAGAUGAAUUCACCCACAGGGUUAACCUGGUAAGGCCCGUGGUAGACCACCACGUUGAUAGGCCGGAAGUGUAAGCGUGGCAACACGUUCAGCUGACCGGUACUAAUCGGCCGAGGGCUUGAGUCC
rnacentral:rRNA from 1 species